GACGAACGCUGGCGGCGUGCUUAACACAUGCAAGUCGAACGGAAAGGCCCUGCUUUUGUGGGGUGCUCGAGUGGCGAACGGGUGAGUAACACGUGAGUAACCUGCCCUUGACUUUGGGAUAACUUCAGGAAACUGGGGCUAAUACCGGAUAGGAGCUCCUGCUGCAUGGUGGGGGUUGGAAAGUUUCGGCGGUUGGGGAUGGACUCGCGGCUUAUCAGCUUGUUGGUGGGGUAGAGGCUUACCAAGGCUUUGACGGGUAGCCGGUCUGAGAGGGUGAUCGGGCACACUGGAAGUGAGACAAGGUCCAGAGUCCUACGGGAGGGAGCAGUGGGGAAUAUUGGACAAUGGGCGGAAGGCUGAUGCAGCCAUGCCGCGUGUGUGAAGAAGGUCUUCGGAUUGUAAAGCACUUUAAGUUGGGAGGAAGGGCAGUAAGUUAAUACCUUGCUGUUUUGACGUUACCAACAGAAUAAGCACCGGCUAACUUCGUG
rnacentral:rRNA from 1 species